rnacentral:rRNA from 1 species
GAGUAUGAUCAUGGCUCAGAUUGAACGCUGGCGGCAGGCCUAACACAUGCAAGUCGAACGGUAACAGGAAGCAGCUUGCUGCUUCGCUGACGAGUGGCGGACGGGUGAGUAAUGUCUGGGAAGCUGCCUGAUGGAGGGGGAUAACUACUGGAAACGGUAGCUAAUACCGCAUAAUGUCGCAAGACCAAAGAGGGGGACCUUCGGGCCUCUUGCCAUCGGAUGUGCCCAGAUGGGAUUAGCUUGUUGGUGGGGUAACGGCUCACCAAGGCGACGAUCCCUAGCUGGUCUGAGAGGAUGACCAGCCACACUGGAACUGAGACACGGUCCAGACUCCUACGGGAGGCAGCAGUGGGGAAUAUUGCACAAUGGGCGCAAGCCUGAUGCAGCCAUGCCGCGUGUAUGAAGAAGGCCUUCGGGUUGUAAAGUACUUUCAGCGGGGAGGAAGGGAGUAAAGUUAAUACCUUUGCUCAUUGACGUUACCCGCAGAAGAAGCACCGGCUAACUCCGUGCCAGCAGCCGCGGUAAUACGGAGGGUGCAAGCGUUAAUCGGAAUUACUGGGCGUAAAGCGCACGCAGGCGGUUUGUUAAGUCAGAUGUGAAAUCCCCGGGCUCAACCUGGGAACUGCAUCUGAUACUGGCAAGCUUGAGUCUCGUAGAGGGGGGUAGAAUUCCAGGUGUAGCGGUGAAAUGCGUAGAGAUCUGGAGGAAUACCGGUGGCGAAGGCGGCCCCCUGGACGAAGACUGACGCUCAGGUGCGAAAGCGUGGGGAGCAAACAGGAUUAGAUACCCUGGUAGUCCACGCCGUAAACGAUGUCGACUUGGAGGUUGUGCCCUUGAGGCGUGGCUUCCGGAGCUAACGCGUUAAGUCGACCGCCUGGGGGGUACGGCCGCAAGGUUAAAACUCAAAUGAAUUGACGGGGGCCCGCACAAGCGGUGGAGCAUGUGGUUUAAUUCGAUGCAACGCGAAGAACCUUACCUGGUCUUGACAUCCACGGAAGUUUUCAGAGAUGAGAAUGUGCCUUCGGGAACCGUGAGACAGGUGCUGCAUGGCUGUCGUCAGCUCGUGUUGUGAAAUGUUGGGUUAAGUCCUGCAACGAGCGCAACCCUUAUCCUUUGUUGCCAGCGGUCCGGCCGGGAACUCAAAGGAGACUGCCAGUGAUAAACUGGAGGAAGGUGGGGAUGACGUCAAGUCAUCAUGGCCCUUACGACCAGGGCUACACACGUGCUACAAUGGCGCAUACAAAGAGAAGCGACCUCGCGAGAGCAAGCGGACCUCAUAAAGUGCGUCGUAGUCCGGAUUGGAGUCUGCAACUCGACUCCAUGAAGUCGGAAUCGCUAGUAAUCGUGGAUCAGAAUGCCACGGUGAAUACGUUCCCGGGCCUUGUACACACCGCCCGUCACACCAUGGGAGUGGGUUGCAAAAGAAGUAGGUAGCUUAACCUUCGGGAGGGCGCUUACCACUUUGUGAUUCAUGACUGGGGUGAAGUCGUAACAAGGUA